rnacentral:lncRNA from 1 species
UCUGAAUAAGUCUCAGCAGCAGCGAAGUUGCGGACCCUACCACAAAAUCGGGGGAGGAGUGGAUUCUAAACAAACAAAAAAAAAAAGAUGCAUUACCAGAAAAAGGAUUGCAGCGCAAUAAGGUAAGCUAAGACUAUUGACUUAUUUGAAAUUACAGGAAUCUCCAUCAGAAGGAGAAAUUGUGUUCGAAUCAGUUUGGUUCUUUUGACCUAAAUAAUGCUUUG